rnacentral:rRNA from 1 species
GAUGAACGCUGGCGGCGUGCCUAGUACAUGCAAGUCGAGCGAACAGACGAGGAGCUUGCUCCUCUGACGUUAGCGGCGGACGGGUGAGUAACACGUGGAUAACCUACCUAUAAGACUGGGAUAACUUCGGGAAACCGGAGCUAAUACCGGAUAAUAUAUUGAACCGCAUGGUUCAAUAGUGAAAGACGGUUUUGCUGUCACUUAUGGAUGGAUCCGCGCCGCAUUAGCUAGUUGGUAAGGUAACGGCUUACCAAGGCAACGAUGCGUAGCCGACCUGAGAGGGUGAUCGGCCACACUGGAACUGAGACACGGUCCAGACUCCUACGGGAGGCAGCAGUAGGGAAUCUUCCGCAAUGGGCGAAAGCCUGACGGAGCAACGCCGCGUGAGUGAUGAAGGUCUUCGGAUCGUAAAACUCUGUUAUUAGGGAAGAACAAAUGUGUAAGUAACUAUGCACGUCUUGACGGUACCUAAUCAGAAAGCCACGGCUAACUACGUG